ACGAUUGUUUUCUAACUUUGCUAUUUUCUUUUGCAGAUAUGUCUUCGGUCUCACUGGGGGACCUUCAGAUGAGCCCGCAGGUCGAGUGAGGGCCAAGGUGGCCCAAACUUCUUGUGGCGAAGAUGAUGUUGGGUCUUCUCUGCCUCCUCUUCCACCAGGGCCUGCACUAGCUGGGUAGCCUGUGAUACGGCCUAUGGGACAGGGUGCUCGGAGGCCUGACCGAGGAGCAAGCUCAGCUAUAGGGCAGAGAGCUAUGGAGGUCGCCCAUAGACGCAAAGAGAGAGCUUUUCCUUUCAUGGAUGAGGAGCUCAAGGAGAUUGGUGAUGGCGAGCCAGACAGGCUCUACUCCACCAGCCUUCGGGAUUAUUCUUUGGUAAGUUGUAUUUUUAGCUUUAUUCAUCAUUCUGGCACGGUGUACCGGUCAAGGGAUUUGUUGCAUGGGUCUGGCCAGCCAUGGAUGAAUCUGUGAGGGGCUGUCCGGCUGUAGUAGUUUCAAAUAGAGGGUGGUCGGCCAGGUAUGUGACUACACAGUUUAAGAGAGCUUAAAUGGAUUGAUUGGUACUACCUAUAUCAAUAAGGUGCAUCUUGUUUUUCGGUAGCCCAUCACGAAAGAACUCCACAGUUAAGCAUGCCUGACCUGGGGUAAUUUCAGGAUGGGUGACCUCUUGGGAAGUUUUCCCAAGAAGCGUGCGAGUGAGGACAAAGCACACUGGAAACACUCGUGUUGGUUUGUAGGGUCAGUCGUCAGUCCAUGAAGCAGCCAGAGUGACGUACUCGUGUAUAAGAGCCAUUCAUUCCGUGGGUGUAAGGACCCAAUGGAGGCUUGAAGCGGGGACGUUACAUACUGGAUGUAAGUACAAGCGUCAGUGAUAUAUAAUGAGUACCAGCGUAGAUAUAGGCCUACCUGUUUCCUGGCGACGUACUAGGCAUAAGUACGGGCGUCAGUGAUAUAUGAUAAGUACCGGGCGUAGGUACGAGCUCGUCUAAGUAGGCGAUUACUCCUUGCGACGUGUAGAUACGGCGUCAGUGAUAUGAAAAUUGCCAGGUUAUGGCAUAAAAUGAAAUCAUUGUAGGGUUUCCUCCUAGCGACGUGUAGAUACGGACGUCAGUGACAUAUGAUAAGUACCAGACAUAGGUACGGGCUCGUCUGAUUAGGCGAUGCGAUAUAUUGGUGCCAAGGUGUGGCACGUGCUCACCUGAUUAAGUGAUGCAAUUAUAUGAAAUAUGAGUGCAAGUUUUUGGCACAGGCUCACCUGAUUAGGUGCUGCAGUUAUGCGAUAUAUGGGUGCAAGGCUAUGGCACGGGCUUGCCUGAUUAGGUAAUGCAAUAUAGGAUUAUCCUAUUUAAGCAUCGACUUGCUUGAUUAGCCAACGCGAUGUGAUGAAGAUGGUUACUUUAUGAGGUAAAGGUAAAUAAAAGCUUGAUCAAUCAUGAAGUGACAGUCUUCUCCAGCAAUGUACAUAUUGACCUCACCGGCCUGCGUGCCGAGUUGCUAGGAGUUGUUUUGGGCCGACUGUAUCUGCUGUGUAUUUUGAUUUUAUGUUAAAAUGGUUGUCUUAUAUAUUUCUUUAGCAAAACUUUUUAUAACAUGGAUUCCCGGAACACACUUUUUAUGUAGUUAUAAUGUCCGUUUCUAGUGCUUUAUUUUAGUCAAGUGUUUAAUAAUAUCACGGUUUUUUUAAUAA